UAAAAAAGAAGAAGAAGGAAGAUAGAAAAGAAACAGAAUGAAACGAAACAGAGAGCAGGGGAGAAAAAGAAAGAAAGAAAAGAAAGAAAGGGGGAAAAAGGAAAAUUGAAGGUUUGAAGCUUUAAGCUUUAAUAGAUCCAGAAGGUUCAAAUAUGAAGCUAGAUCGAGGAAAGGAAAAAGUUCAGGAUUUGUAGAUUUUUGUACACGAACAAGUAUCAAGUGUUAAGAGCUCAGAGGUCGGAUUUGGUCGGAGACGCAUCACACUAUCAACCUCAGGAUUUCGUAAAUGUCUACCGACCAAGCUCAAUCUGAGAAAGCUGGGACUCAUGCUCCGGCUUCAGUACAAAGAGAAUAAACUAGCAGUAGAAGGUGUAACGGCCUAAUUUUCAGUGGUGUCGGAAAUGGUGAUUUAAUAUUUAUGAGUCAAGUAAGAAUUUAGAAGAAUUUGUGAAUUGGUGAAAUUAGUGAAUUAAAAGAAUUUAUUAGGUCAAACGGGUCAAAAACGAGGUGUCGAGACCUUAAAAUUAAAAAUCGAGCUAUAAAUAUUUUUAUAA